UACGGAGGGUGCAAGCGUUAUCCGGAUUUACUGGGUUUAAAGGGUGCGCAGGCGGAUAUGUAAGUCAGUGGUGAAAUCUCCGGGCUUAACCCGGAACUGCCGUUGAUACUAUAUAUCUUGAAUGCUGUGGAGGUAAGCAGAAUAUGUCAUGUAGCGGUGAAAUGCUUAGAGAUGACAUAGAAUACCUAUUGCGAAGGCAGCUUACUACGCAGAUAUUGACGCUCAUGCACGAAAAGCGUGGGGAUCAAACAGG
rnacentral:rRNA from 1 species